AACGGACGCUGGCGGCAUGCCUAACACAUGCAAGUCGAACGAGACCUCCGGGUCUAGUGGCGCACGGGUGCGUAACGCGUGGGAACCUGCCCUUAGGUUCGGAAUAACUCCCCGAAAGGGGUGCUAAUACCGGAUAAUGUCUUCGGACCAAAGAUUUAUCGCCUUUGGAUGGGCCCGCGUUGGAUUAGCUAGUUGGUAGGGUAAAAGCCUACCAAGGCUACGAUCCAUAGCUGGUCUGAGAGGAUGAUCAGCCACACUGGGACUGAGACACGGCCCAGACUCCUACGGGAGGCAGCAGUGGGGAAUAUUGGACAAUGGGCGAAAGCCUGAUCCAGCAAUGCCGCGUAAGUGAUGAAGGCCUUAGGGUUGUAAAGCUCUUUUACCCGGGAUGAUAAUGACAGUACCGGGAGAAUAAGCUCCGGCUAACUCCGUG
rnacentral:rRNA from 1 species